CCCUUAGAUGUUCUGGGCCGCACGCGUGCUACACUGAGUGGAUCAGCGGGUCAGGUUGCGCGAAAGUGUUUCCUAAUCUUGAAAUCCGCUCGUGAUGGGGAUUGACGGUUGCAAUUUUCCGUCAUGAACGAGGAAUACCUUGUAAGCGCGGGUCAUCAUCCCGCGCUGAAUACGUCCCUGCCCUUUGUACACACCGCCCGUCGCUCCUACCGAUUGAGUGGUCCAGUGAGGCUUUGGGAUCUGAGCGGAAAGAGCGUUUCGCUGUUUCUGCCCGGAAAACUCAGUCGAACCUUAUCAUUUAGAGGAAGGAGAAGUCGUAACA
rnacentral:rRNA from 1 species